rnacentral:lncRNA from 1 species
UCGAAUUUUAAGCGCGUCAUAAUUCUUAUUUUUAGGAUCAUGUCUCAUCGCUCGUCAAUUUAUUGACGGGUCCGAAAUUUCAAUAAAGAAAUUAUCGGAAGAAAAUUGAAGCCCAAAAGGAAAAGAUAAAAGGAAAAUUGAAAUAAGGAAUUAUGCAAUUCCUUUUCUUUUUCCUCUCUCUCUCCCUCUCUUUUCUUUUCUUUCUUUUCUCUCUUCUCUUUUCUUUCUCUCUCCUCUUCCCUUCCCCUUCGUGGGACUCCCCCACCGCCCACCUUUUCUCUCUCUUCCCUUUUGACUAGUCCAAGCUUAUCUUCUCUCUCCUCUCUCUUCUUUCUUCCCCCUCACGACAGAACCAGCUUUUCUUCUCCUUCCUUUCUUCGCAUGCGAACCAGGAGCUCGGAGACCGCAGCUCGCCGAAGCCGUCGCCGCUCGUCCCGCCGCCGCUCCGCCGCACCGCCGCUCGCGCCGCUCGCAGCCGUGCACUCCACCCGCGUCCGUCACCGCUGCCGCUCCUCCCUCCGCACGAAUCAGCCCUGUUUCGCCCCUGUUCCGCACCGACCAGCCCCCGUCCGGCCACCUCCGGCCACCGCCUAGCCUCGCCGGACCACCCCCGCAACCCCCUCGCCCUCCGCCGACUUCCCCUCGCCGCCCUAGCCGCCGGAGCAGCCCCGAUCGGCUCCGUCUAGCAGACCCACGGAAUGGGUUUCAGCAUCUUCGGGCUCGCUUUCGGGCCGUUUCCGGGCCCCAAACCCGAGCCGUGCUUUGGGAAGUUUCGUUCCUCGCGUCGCCCCCGUCGGAUUGAUCCGAUUUGCGCGUGAUUUGGUGAGUAAUCUCACUAAUCUCGGAUUAGUUGGCUAAUUAUGCUUUAAGGUUGGUUUAGUUUUAAUUAAUUAUGUUUAGGUUGUUAGAUUAGAAUAAAUUAGAAAUUAUUAGUCAAUUGUGAUACGAUUUAAAUAAAUUGAUUGUGCAAUUAACAAGUAGACGUGGUCUACUAUUUAUUGGAAGCAUCUCGGGAAUUUUCCGACCCCUAAUCGGGCUUCAAUUUGGCGAUUCGGGCCUGAGUGGGAUUAUUGGCAUUUAAAUAUUAUUUUUCGAAAUUAAUUAAAUAAUUAUUUAUUUUUCCGAAAAUUCAACUGAGAUGGUCCGGAACCGGAAAAUUAUGCUGAUGACCGUGGUGGAGUUCGUUUGUUUAAUCGGGCUUUAUUUUGAGCUAAAUUGGAUUUUUAAUGUUAAUUAUUUAAUUUUCGAAAUUAAUUAAUUAUUUAUUUAUUUCCCGAAAAUUCAACUGGGAUGGCCCGUAACCGGAAAUUUAUGCAGAUGAUCGUGGUGAAGUCCGUUUGUUUAAUUGGGCGUUAUUUUGAGCUAAAUGGAAUUUUUAAUAUUUAUAAAUUAAUUAUUUUCGGAAAUUGAAAUUGAGAUGGCCAACGACCGAAAUCUCGUGCUGAUUGUCGUGGCCCAGUCUGUUUAUUUAUUUGAGCUUUGAAUUGUGCCAAAUUGAAUUGAAUGUGGAAUUUAGGAUAUUUUCCUAAAUCAUUGUGGUUAAUUAUUUCGUUGAGAAACCAUUAAAUCUUGCAAGCGGUCGAGUGGGACCGUAAAGCCAUUAAAUCUUGCAAGGGGUCGAGUGGGACCGUAAAGCCAUUAAAUCUUGCAAGCGGUCGAGUGGGACCGUAAAGCCAUUAAAUCUUGCAAGCGGUCGAGUGGGACCGUAAAGCCAUUAAAUCUUGCAAGGGGUCGAGUGGGACCGUAAAGCCAUUAAAUCUUGCAAGCGGUCGAGUGGGACCGUAAAGCCAUUAAAUCUUGCAAGCGGUCGAGUGGGACCGUAAAGCCAUUAAAUCUUGCAAGGGGUCGAGUGGGACCGUAAAGCCAUUAAAUCUUGCAAGCGGUCGAGUGGGACCGUAAAGCCAUUAAAUCUUGCAAGCGGUCGAGUGGGACCGUAAAGCCAUUAAAUCUUGCAAGGGGUCGAGUGGGACCGUAAAGCCAUUAAAUCUUGCAAGCGGUCGAGUGGGACCCUAAAGCCAUUAAAUCUUGCAAGCGGUCGAGUGGGACCGUAAAGCCAUUGAAUCUUGAAAGUGGUCGAGUGGGACCGUAAAGCCAUUAAAUAUUGAAUGUUGCUGAGUGGGACUCUGAAUAGUGAUAGCGUGAAUGACCGGGAAAUGGUCAGGUUGACAUGUAAUCGACGAGGUCGAUUGAUCAUUGUUUUGAUUUGAUGUUGUGAAUUGAUUGACUGAAUGUGAAUGACCGUGAGUGGUCUUGUCAGCUUGUAAUCGACCAGGUCGAUUUGAUCGAUGCUUUGAUCGGUGAUACGAUUGCUUGAGUGCCUAUUGUGAAUUGUACUGACUUGCAGGUGGGAUCUGAUGCUAAGGUAUGUCUUCUGACCUAUGCGUGUUUAGGCAGCCUUUAGUAUAAUAGUUUACUAAUUGGGCUUAGUGGGGUAGAACUCGCUGAGACGUAGUCUCAUCCCAGUUUGGGGAAAACCAUUUCAGGACCCCGCUAAGGAGCUGAGGUGGAAGAGUUGGAGAAGGAUUUUUGGGAGAAGAAGACAAUCUUGAGAGGGGCUUUGAGUUUGGCCUGGAUGGGCUGAGAGUCUAUCUUCUUUUGAGAAUUCAUUUUGAUGUGAAUAGUUAUGAAGCG